rnacentral:rRNA from 1 species
UACGAAGGGAGCUAGCGUUGUUCGGAAUCACUGGGCGUAAAGCGCACGUAGGCGGAUGUGUCAGUCAGGGGUGAAAUCCCGGAGCUCAACUUCGGAACUGCCUUUGAUACAGCACAUCUGGAGUCCGGAAGAGGUGGGUGGAAUUCCUAGUGUAGAGGUGAAAUUCGUAGAUAUUAGGAAGAACACCGAUUGCGAAGGCAGCUCGCUGGAACGUUACUGACGCUGAGACGCGAAAGCGUGGGGAGCAAACAGG